CCUACGGGUGGCAGCAGUAGGGACUCUUUCACAAUGGGCGAAAGCCUGAUGGAGCACCGCCGCGUGCAGGAUGAAGGCCUUCGGGUUGUACACUGCUUUUAUAAGCGAGAAAUAUGAUGGUAACUUAUGAAUAAGGAUCGGCUAACUACGUGCCAGCAGCCGCGGUCAUACGUAGGAUCCGAGCAUUAUCCGGAGUGACUGGGUGUAAAGAGUUGCGUAGGUGGCAUAAUAAGUAGCUAGUGAAAUCUGGUGGCUCAACCAUUCAGACUAUUAGCUAAACUGUUAAGCUCGAGACCGUUAGGGGUAACUGGAAUUUCUAGUGUAGGAGUGAAAUCCGUAGAUAUUAGAAGGAACACCAAUAGCGUAGGCAGGUUGCUGGGACGGUUCUGACACUAAGGCACGAAAGCGUAGGGAGCAAACGGGAUUAGAUACCCCAGUAGUC
rnacentral:rRNA from 1 species